CCUACGGGGGGCAGCAGUGGGGAAUAUUGGACAAUGGGGGCAACCCUGAUCCAGCCAUGCCGCGUGUGUGAAGAAGGCCCUCGGGUUGUAAAGCACUUUCAGUGAGGAAGAACGCCUGGUGGUUAAUACCCAUCAGGAAAGACAUCACUCACAGAAGAAGCACCGGCUAACUCCGUGCCAGCAGCCGCGGUAAUACGGAGGGUGCGAGCGUUAAUCGGAAUUACUGGGCGUAAAGCGCGCGUAGGUGGCUUGAUAAGUCGGUUGUGAAAGCCCCGGGCUCAACCUGGGAACGGCAUCCGGAACUGUCAAGCUAGAGUGCAGGAGAGGAAGGUAGAAUUCCCGGUGUAGCGGUGAAAUGCGUAGAGAUCGGGAGGAAUACCAGUGGCGAAGGCGGCCUUCUGGACUGACACUGACACUGAGGUGCGAAAGCGUGGGUAGCAAACAGGAUUAGAUACCCCUGUAGUC
rnacentral:rRNA from 1 species